GACAGAGGGUGCAAACGUUGCUCGGAAUUACUGGGCGUAAAGCGCGUGUAGGCGGUCACGCAAGUCAGGUGUGAAAGCCCAGGGCUCAACCCUGGAAGUGCACAUGAUACUACGUGGCUGGAGUACUGAAGAGGAGAGCGGAAUUCCCGGUGUAGAGGCGAAAUUCGUAGAUAUCGGGAGGAACACCAGUGGCGAAGGCGGCUCUCUGGGCAGAUACUGACGCUGAGACGCGAAAGCGUGGGUAGCAAACAGG
rnacentral:rRNA from 1 species